AAUAAUGCCUCGCAGAAGUUUAUGGGGCUGCCCUCUUUGAGACACAUGGUCAGUUGCCUUAGUUUUCUCGACAUUCCAUGCUUAUCUAUCAACUUCCCAGAAGUAUAAUAUUUUAAGUAGAAAUAGUUCAGUCCUGGUGAGCUAUUCUGGGAGAAAGAGGACAAGCUGCUUGUUCUCAGUGCAAUGCACCCUCUUGCUUCUCUGUCGUGGCCCCAUGGUCGUCUAGGUGUGGGAACGAGGGAAAUAAGAAAGGGUUACAUUUUGCUUACUGAACACCAGCAAGAUAAACACUUCCAAGGCCUCGCUUCUGUUAUUUGUUGCUGUCAGCAGCCUUCUGAGAUGGCACACCAUGAUACCUGCUCCCUCAUCUUCACGCCUUGCUUAAUCACAUCCUGUUGAGAGUGGGCUGGAAAGAGCAAGUGGCUUCUGAGGAAUGGAGCACUGCCAAGUGUUGGGAUGACGCUACUGAGACUAAGCCACAAAGACUCUAACUUUAUGGUCUUCUUUCUCUUUCUGGGCCUCCUCACCUGUUUUCAUGAAGGAAGUUGUGAGCUGCCCCAUGGAGAGGCCUAUAUGACAGAGAACUGGUCAACAGCCAACAAAGAAUGGAGGGCCUCCGUGCAGCAGCCCAUGAGGAUCUGAAUCCCACCAAUCACCUUGCAAGGGAGCUUGGAAAAGGAUCCACCUAGGCUUGACACGACUGAUGUCCCGGCUGACUACAGGCUCAUAAGAGGGCUCAGCUAAGCAAUGCCAAAAUUCCUCACCCACAGAAACUGUGAGCCUUGUGAAGAAGGUGCCUUGCUUCCCUUUCACCUUCCACCAUGAUUGUAAGUUUCCUGAGGCCUCCCCAGCCAUGUGAAACUCUGCAGUUGUCUGCAGGUAACUGAAACUGCAGACAGAGAAACUGUGGAUAAGGCGACUGCUGUAAUGCAUUCACUAUACUUCAUCUCUGAAUGUGAGCAACUCCAGAAAACUACUUGGCCAGAAAUGGGGUUCCACUAUGUUGCCCAAGCUUUGAACUCCCAGACUGAAGAGAUCCUCCUACCUUCGCCUCCCAAAAUGCUGGGAUUAAGGGCACAAGCCACUGUGCCCUGCCUCCUACAAUAUUUUGACAGACAUCAAAUAGCUGCACUCUUUCUGAACAAGCCUGAAUGUAACCUCUUAUUUUCUUCUCAACUAUGGUAGUUCAGGUCACUAUACUAAUUAAUCAGCAUUGUUACCAUUUGUGACAGACUCAACAGUAUCCAGAGUAGAGCAAAUUAUCAUUGAAAGCACUUUUGAAAAAUGGAAUUGGGAACUGGUAGUAUUUAGCAAAGAAUGACAGUAUCCAACAGAACACGGGAGCUCUCUUCAAAUAUUUAAAGGAGUGGUGUAUGGAAGAGGAAGUAGAUUCACUAUUUGUUACAGCUCUUGAAGUCAAAACAAAGAAGAAGGCAGAGAAUUGCAGGAUCUCUGCUUAUAAUAGAAAAUGUCAAUUAGUGAAAUAAGUGCUCUUAAAAUGCUAUAGUUACUCUCAACCCCUAGAACUAUGCAAAAGUGGCUGAGGUAUUAAUCAUUGAGAAGACUUUGGUAACAGUGAAAUAGGUGACCAAUAAAUUAGUACCCAGAGGCUAAAUUAUGACAUUAAAACACCCUCGGAUUUUCAUAAAAAUAAUUAUUUUGCCACCAUUUGUACCAGAUUAUGUCUGAUUGUAUUCAAAUAUUUUAUGCAAAUAUUUCAGCACAGCAUAAUUACUGAGUUUGAUUUGUAGACAUGAUUUAUAUAUUCAAAGAAGACUGUGGACAUCUCUCUUGUUGAAAGCUCUUUGGGCAAAAACUAAAGUGGCCUUAGACUCAACGUGCUCUGCAAUAUUAUCUGCAUUAAUUUUGAAUGUCACAAACAAUUAGAAGCAUUGUUAGAGAUAAAAGUAUUUAUCAUCAUGUAUGUCAAUGUAUUCUCUUAAUAAGUUAAUAGAUGGAGAUCAUCAUUCUAGAUUUACUUUUAUCUUCAUUUUGACAUCUGAGGAAUUAUGGUAAUGUUAUGUCAGAAAGUAUGAAUAAAUGCUUGGAAAGUGUCAAAA